rnacentral:tRNA from 1 species
AGGGGUAUAGCUCAGUGGUAGAGCUCAUGCUUAGCAUGCACAUGGUCCUGGGUUCAAUCCCCACAACCUCCA